rnacentral:lncRNA from 1 species
CCGGAUAGCUCUGAGCAGCAUAGACCUCUGCUUCUCCUUCAGGUGUGCAUUCCCCCAUGCGAUGGCACGCGUUGGUUCCAUGACCAAAAUCGCCACAUAUGCCACAUCCUUCUGUUGGUGGCGCAUGAACUGGUGGAGCCUUCACCUGGUUCAUCGUGAGGUGUUGUACUUGCCUCAUCAGGUCCGCUACUUGCUUCUGAAGCUCAUUGUUGGGAGCUACUGCAUUGGCUUCAACCCUCCUUCCUCUAACUGAUUUCUGUUGAGAACUCGCUGCAAGUGUGUUGAAAAUCUCCUUGAGCUCAUCAG